CCCAGCCGAUUGUUCUCAUCUUUACGUCUCUGUCUGCAGAGAACAGACUUCUUCACCCUCAGGAACCUCACUGCAGCCCUACAUCUCUGCGGCUGGACGUCCCCAUUGAUCACAGACCAAGGCCAGGAUGUGCUCCAUAUGUCUUUCCCUUUCUGCUGUUUUCUAGGCCCGAGGAGUUGACCGUGUGAGUCCUGGCUUGUCAAUGGUGCAGCGGGGGCUGCAGCGACUCUGGCUCUGUGGCUUCACUGUGCCUGUGGGUGGCCGACGAAGCCAUCAUCUUGAGUGCAUGGUGCCACCAAUGCGUGUGGCAAUCAGACAGGAAAUGACAUGGCUAUAUUGAAGGCCAGCCUCCGGCACUGUGGCUUCACUGUGCCUGCGGGUGGCCGAUGAGGCCAUCGUCUGAGUGCACAGUGUCACCAGUGGAUGUGGCAAUCAGACAGGAAAUGACAUGGCUAUACCAAGGGCCAGCCGUGUCUAUGCUGCCUUCAGACAGUUGGGUCAACCCUUGCCAGGGUCCAGACUCAGUCUCUGAAAAGGUCCCCCUUCCUCAAUGCUCCUAAGACUGAAGCACCUACCUGGAGCUCACUGGGCCACUCACAUGGGUUUCCGUGGCUAUGCUACACGGGAAGCCAAGUCAUAGUCAGAAGCCACUUGACUGAUUGUGAAAAAAAUGGCUUUCAACAAGACCAGGAAUAAGCACAGCACAUGUUCUCUGUUUAGACAGCCAAGAGUGGUUAAUCUACUUGCCCAGGACGGGCCAGCUGGAGCUGCAGAGGAAUGAACCCAGAGCCUGUGCUCCAGGCAGGCACACACAC
rnacentral:lncRNA from 10 species